GUGUUUUUGGAGAUGAUCAUUUCUCAUUUUUUUUCUUUUGAAAGAAAAGUCUAACUGUCUGAAGAACCAGUGGGAAUGGAGAAUUGGGCUGUGAGAAGGAGGAGGCAAUGGGGUGAUGUCCUUGUUUGGGGAGGAGACAGAUCUGACUGGGGAAAUCCAGAUAAGUGGCUGGCUAUCUGA
rnacentral:lncRNA from 1 species